rnacentral:SRP_RNA from 1 species
CGUCGGCUUCCCCGCGACGGUCAACCGUGAACCCCGUCAGGCCCGGAAGGGAGCAGCGGCAGCGGUGACACCGGGUGCCGGGGAGUGGCUGGCGCGG